rnacentral:rRNA from 1 species
AUGGAAGUUCCAAUGGAUGAGCUUGUCAAGCAUCUCACUGGUGAGCAUGAGAAGCGGCGGAAGGUGGUUUCCAUCCUCGGGGUGGAAGGCCUUGGUAAGACUACUCUUGCCAAGGAGGUUUAUUCAAAGAUUCAAGGGAACUUUGAGUGCCGAGCUUUUGUUACUCUUGGCCGGAGACCAUCCAUUAGGGAGACUGUGCAGGAAAUACUUUGUCAAGUAAACCCCUCUGCAGAAAAGAAAAUAAACCUGAAGAUUGAUCCUAGGCAUGGAAGGGGCGCAGCCCCGGAUCUGAAAAAACUCCUCACUGAGCUUUGGAAGUACCUCGCCACAAAGAGGUAUUUCAUCUUAGUGGAUGGCUUAUGGAGCACACAGGCUUGGAAAAUUAUCAAUUCUGCUUUGCCCAACGAGAAUAAUGGAAGCAGGGUAUUGACAACAACAUGCAUCAGUGCUGUUGCUCAACGUUGUUCUGUACAUCCCAUGGAUAUCUAUCGGAUUGAGCCACUUAACGAGGAGAUGUCUGCAAGAUUAUACCUGAAAUUAAUUCGGCAAAAAGAAUGGCCGGCUGAUCAUGCUGAAGUAACCAAAAACAUGUUUAAAAUGUGUGGUGGCAUGCCAUUGGCCCUAGUUCUUGCAGCUGGCUUAUUAGCAGCAAAAUGCAAACAACUACCAGAGCCCGAGAUAUCUGUUGUCUCAUCAGUGGAGCAAUAUUCCAAAUCAGAUGGGAUUAUGAAGACACUGCAGAUGAGUUAUGAUGCUUUGUCUUUGCCUCUGAGGUCUUGCUUGUUGUACCUGAGUGUCUUUCGAGGAGGUUGCACCAUCAAGAAGGACCGUCUGAUACGAUUAUGGAUUGCUGAAAGACUUAUCCCUCGAAAAGAUGAUGAAAGAAGAGCUCAAGAAAUAAGAGGUGAUGGAGGAGAAGAAACGAGAGUUGAAGGAGGUGAAAUCAUAGGAUAUGAAGAAAAUGGAGGUAAAGAAACAGGAGACGAAAAAAGCUUGUGGGAGACAGGGCAGCUCUACUUCAAAGAGCUUAUCAUCAGGAGACUGAUUCAACCUGUGUUCAACUACAAUGAUGACCAGCCAGUGAGUUGCACCGUUCAUGGUGUGAUUCUUGAUUUCAUCAAUUCUUUGUCGAGCAAAGGUAACUUUGUUACAGUUGGUGGUGCUCAUUUGAGCACAGACAUGGUUCGGCGAUUCUCGCUAGACUGCUUUAACAACAAUGACGAAGACAGAGAUGCCACCUUGGCGUCAUUUGCUAUGCACUUAUCUAGAGUGCGAUCUAUGAUUGUUUUGGGUGAUAUUGAAGGGAUAGCUGGUCGUUCGGCCCUCACAUUAUCUGGAAAAAUCGAUGGGACUCCUGUUCUUCCAUCCUUCAAACUUUUAAGAGUACUUGAUCUGGAAGGUACUUAUCAUUUGAGAAGCCGCCAUCUUCAAGGCAUCGGGGGAUUGGUUCUGCUGAGAUACCUGGGGGCUGCAGAGACUGCAAUCGAUUCUUUACCAGAGGAAAUCGGAGAACUAGGGCAGCUGGAGACCCUGAAUUUGAGGAAGACAAAAAUGCUGAGCACUUUGCCUACUUCUAUAGCUAAGCAGAAAAUGUUGGCACAUCUGCUAAUUGACGGCACCGUCAAACUGCCUAGCGAAAUCCUGAAAAUGCAAGGAUUAGAAGAAGUAUCAACUGUUGGUGUCUACAGUAGCAGGUCAAUUGAUUCAGUGGCAGAGCUCUUGAGGAAGUCGGAGCGGCUGAGGGUCCUUGGCAUAAGAUUGGAUGGGUCACACUUAUCUAAUGAUAACGGGAGUGUCAGGACUUUCCUCAUGGAGGUUACAAGGAUGGCCUCUCUUGUCAGCGUUACCCACUUGGAUAUUGAAAUUGUUCGAUUAGAAGAUGAAGCUGUCCGUGCCCUGGGAGGUUUGCCUCAUCUAGUCCUUCUCAAGUUAGUUUCUUCAGGUGGCAUAAGAUUCAGCUCACAACUCAAAUGGAACCCAGAAGGCAGGUGCAAAGUCGGCGUGGACCAGGGCUUUAAGUGUGUGAAAGUAUUAUCGCUCAUAUGCCGAUCUGGUGGGACGGAGCUGGAGUUCACACCAGGAGCCAUGAAGGAGCUACAGAGGCUGACGCUCGACUUCAGCGCACGGGAAGCACUGUGUAUCUAUGGAAAUUUCAGUUUUGGCAUCGAGCAUCUCUCUUCCCUCACACGAGUCCAUGCCAUGAUUAGCUGCAAAUGUGCUGUAGCUUCGGAGGUGAAUACUGUGAAGGAUGCGAUACGAGAACAAGCAGGUAACUUGUCUAGCAAACCCACGAUCGAAUUUACCACAAUAAAUGAACACAUGAUAAUUCCUGAUCACAAAGCAAAGACAGCAGCAGUUUCCCCUAAAAUUUGGUUAAACGGGUGUAUCAACUUCAGACAAACUGCCUAG